UACAGGGGGUGCAAACGUUGCUCGGAAUCAUUGGGCGUAAAGCGCACGUAGGCGGUUCGUUAUGUCGGAUGUGAAAGCCCUUGGCUUAACCGAGGAAGUGCAUCCGAAACUGGCGAGCUAGAGUACGAAAGAGGAUCGCGGAAUUCCCGGUGUAGAGGUGAAAUUCGUAGAUAUCGGGAGGAACACCGGUGGCGAAGGCGGCGAUCUGGGCCGAUACUGACGCUGAGGUGCGAAAGCGUGGGGAGCAAACAGG
rnacentral:rRNA from 1 species